rnacentral:rRNA from 1 species
UACGUAGGGGGCAAGCGUUGUCCGGAUUUAUUGGGCGUAAAGAGCGUGUAGGCGGCCAAGCAGGUCCGCUGUGAAAACUCGAGGCUCAACCUCGAGAUGUCGGUGGAAACCGUUUGGCUAGAGUCCGGAAGAGGAGAGUGGAAUUCCCGGUGUAGCGGUGAAAUGCGCAGAUAUCGGGAGGAACACCAAUGGCGAAGGCAGCUCGCUGGGACGUUACUGACGCUGAGACGCGAAAGCUGGGGGAGCAAACCGGG